rnacentral:rRNA from 1 species
UACGUAGGGUGCGAGCGUUAAUCGGAAUUACUGGGCGUAAAGGGUGCGCAGGCGGUCUCGUAAGCUGGGUGUGAAAGCCCCGGGCUUAACCUGGGAAUGGCAUUCAGGACUGCGAGGCUUUGAGUGCGGCAGAGGGAGGUGGAAUUCCACGUGUAGCAGUGAAAUGCGUAGAGAUGUGGAGGAACACCAAUGGCGAAGGCAGCCUCCUGGGCCAGCACUGACGCUCAUGCACGAAAGCGUGGGGAGCAAACAGG